ACAACACUAAAACAUAUCUGUAGCCUGUUAGAUUGAGGGUUUAUAUGCGCUGUAAACAUUGGGUGUCCUUCGCGAGAGUGAGGUUGUAGGCUACUAUUUGCCUGCGUGCAUGUGAUGUGCAUG